AAGUAUCUAAAUACUCAUAAAAUACACUCAAUAAUCUAGAGAGAGAAAGAGAGAAAGCUUAUGUUUCUGGUGUGAUUUUUAAUUCUAACUUAGCCCUCUAUUUAUAGGAAAAUGUUAGCAGACUUGACCUGUAACCUGAUGGCUUUACCUGUUACUAUUCCCACCCACCACAUUUGAAAUAAAAUUCAUCACAUUUCUUCACCAACCACA
rnacentral:lncRNA from 1 species